GCCUGAACCACCAAGAAGGGAGGAGCAACCCGGGGACCGGCCUCCCAGCGGGACCAUCGACUCCAUCACCGGAGGGCCUCAAGGAGGAGCGGGCCACCCACGACCGUGGAGCUCGGAAAACCUGUAAAUGUAUCACUUACGAUUUCACCUUGAAUCUAAAUUUCUUUCUACUUAACGUACUCUUCCCAUCUGGCGUGAAUUUAUUAUGACUGGAUAUGACCCCUUCAAAAACAAAGUUAUGUUAGGAACGGGGGAGAACCCCACCCAAGCAUUCCCAAAAUGAAAGUCCGACUAUCUCAAAAUUGGAUGGGGGGAGAGGCCUGACAACGCCCUGAUGUGCCCCCACAGCCAUGUCAGGAACAAGAGGAGAACCACGUCCUGACAUGAGCAAAGUCAAAGGCCCGGUUCUUUUAGACCGGAU
rnacentral:lncRNA from 1 species